GCUGGAUAGCUCAGCUGAUUAGAGCGUGGUGCUGAUAAUGCCAAGGUUGCAGGUUCGAUCCUUGUAUGGGACAGCUGCA
rnacentral:tRNA from 1 species